GACGAACGCUGGCGGCGUGCUUAACACAUGCAAGUCGAACGGAAAGGCCCUGCUUUUGUGGGGUGCUCGAGUGGCGAACGGGUGAGUAACACGUGAGUAACCUGCCCUUGACUUUGGGAUAACUUCAGGAAACUGAGGCUAAUACCGGAUAGGAGCUCCUGCUGCAUGGUGGGGGUUGGAAAGUUUCGGCGGUUGGGGAUGGACUCGCGGCUUAUCAGCUUGUUGGUGGGGUAGUGGCUUACCAAGGCUUUGACGGGUAGCCGGCCUGAGAGGGUGACCGGCCACAUUGGGACUGAGAUACGGCCCAGACUCCUACGGGAGGCAGCAGUGGGGAAUAUUGCACAAUGGGCGGAAGCCUGAUGCAGCAACGCCGCGUGCGGGAUGACGGCCUUCGGGUUGUAAACCGCUUUCGCCUGUGACGAAGCGUGAGUGACGGUAAUGGGUAAAGAAGCACCGGCUAACUACGUG
rnacentral:rRNA from 1 species